AGUGGAGGAGAGAAAGAUAUGGUCCCAGAAGGUAGUGCACACACACACAGUCAUACGCACACACACUUCACACACUCUCUGGCUCCCCGGCUCGUUUUGUGGAAUGGUGGAUUAGUUUUCAAAUAUUUGGCAAGCAGAUGCAGGCAUGAUCAGGUGUCCCAGCUGCCCCCAAGUGUGAGAUGAACCAUGGAAAGGUGCAGAGGUCCGCUCACUAGCCCAGCUCGCAUCUGCCCAACCGACCGGGGGUUCUGCGGCAUGCAGCGGUGCUCUCACUAGCACCAAGUGGACCCGGUCCUGUCCUCCUUACCUGGGGCCAGGACUGCAGAAUGCUCAGUCCUGUCGCCCCUUACACCACCUCUGAUGCUUCACAACCCCCCAAAUCCCAUUCCCUCUUGGACCCUUCCCCCACAUCUACUUUCAUCUAAUUAGCCCCUAAUUACUCAAACUGACCAUGCAGUGGACUGCGGGUCCAGUUUGCUCCUGCAAACAUCCACAAGUUGCAUAAGUUAUGUUCUACUUAAAGCAAAUUGUCAUUUUGAUGGGCGUAAUUACCAGAUUGUGCUUGAGUCACUCUCACGCAAUCUAUUUAAUUGAAUCAAUCACACGAGUUGAACCAUUUAAUUUGCUUUUAAUCAUGAAUGAAUUGUACCGAGGGCUAUCAUUCCCGCUGAGGUCAGCCUUCCAACAGCACACAUGCAAUCGUUCAUGGCAACUCUUUGUGCUUCUCCUGCCUCGACAUGCUCUGUCAUCUUCUGUAAUGCUCUAAGGGAGAAGUCUGCUCGUACUAUUUGUACUCGGAGCCUUUCAUAAUUACAUAAGGGUUGACAGAGAAGACAAACUUAUUGAAAUACCACCUGUGAAAUUAAUUUUUCAGGUAUUCAUUUUGGAAAUAGCAUGCAAGCAUUGGAUCCAGCUCACCUGUAACACUGCAAGAAUUCAUUAUCAACGAUCAAAUUGUUUAAUUCACCAAUGCUAUACUGACCAUGUACACAAAUAUUUCUAAUCACAAGUCUGAACAGAGGUGAGCCAGUUUGUCAUUCAUCAGCGUCCGGGCCAGGCUACCCUUGCGUCAUCGUCAAUCCAUCAUAAUUUAAAGCCGAAACUAAACUGUAACUGUCAGUCAGUCGUUCCGUCAUGGUUAUUUUAACCGCCGUUCUGUCAUCUGUAAGUUACGUUCACCGCUGCUAUUUUAGGACCCAUAGAUCUUCUUCCUUCUCCUCCUUCCUUCUUCUACUACUUACGUCACACACAUUUGUGUUUACCACGUCACCUAGUACAUACGGUAAGAAAGAAAACAAAGAUGCUAGAUGAAGCCAUUACAAGACUGAACCACAGAAAAUGAUCAAAUUACACAAUCAUAAACUCCCGCUUGGAGGCCCUAGAUCCAAUAACUGGUAAUGACCACAGAACCUCAAGCACCAUUUAGGUCAAGUUUGCUGAACCACGAGCGGCUAUUUCCCAUGUAGGGGUCAUCCGUGCGCUCAUAGACGUGUGAUGUACAUCAAACUGGCAGUACGACUGACUGUAUGAUGAUCACACUGAUUAAGGAAAGCUGUCACAGUACUUAGUUCUCGUCUUUGUAUGCUGCUAAACCAAGCGUGGCCAAGAAUGGAGGGCUCUCGAUAAAUUCCAAGCCAACACCAGUUGCUAGAUUAGGGCUGAGGCUGCCUCGCUCAUCCCUCCUAAUUCCUGGGCUACCCCUCCAACCCAACACCCAUACACACCCUCUGACACAGAUGUCUGAUGCUCCAGCACACAUCGACAUUUUUUUAAUGGGUCACUGAAAUGCAACGGUGUGUGAUCGAAAAAAACCAACGUUUUCCAAUAUUUGUCUUAAUUUUCCAUACAUUUGAGGAUCCCUCAUUUUCAGUGUAUGAUUUAAUUAUUACUUUUUCCUCAAUGCAUUUCAAAGGGCGUAAAUGAUUUUUACCAUUCGUUGGUCGGUCCCAAUCCCUCACGUGGUCUACUGUAUAGUAAAUAAACAAGUUGUUUAAAUAAAUAGAAUGGAUUGGUCCAUCUCCUUAUUGGAUCUUAAUCAGUGUCCAAGGGUCAUUUAACACUCUUAACGCUGAUCACUCCAAUCAAUCAGCAUAUGUUGCCUUGUACUGCUGCAUGAUUAUCUAGACGGACAUAUCUCACAAUUACUCGAUUGAGCUGUCCAAGAGGUGCUGGCGAUGUCUUCAGUUUGUCUGGCCGAGUGUCAGAUUGCGACACUACGGCGAUAAAACCCGUGUACGCUAAUCCUUCAUUAGUCUGCUUUCCCAAUGUGCACACACAUCUCUAAAUGUCUGAGAUCUGUGAUCCACUCCCAGUUUUUACAUUCCAUUCUGUUGAAUUUUGAUGAGGAUUGCAGGUCGUACGAGAUUACUGUGCUCAGAUAUGUUUUUGAAUCGAUUAUGGGCCAUCUGCCGAAGACCGGAUGAGAGUAGAUUUAAAGUACAUGUCUGCAAUCAUUGACAGCGUUGAUCCUACACUAAUUAAAAUUAUGGAUGAAGUGCUUUGCUAAAUUUUUGUACGCGCAGUAGCUGCAAAGUGGGAUACGGAAUGUUAAUUACUCAAAGCAAUAUCUUUUUUUUUUUUGGAGGAGAUUUUUAUUUUAUACGACGGAUGAUACGUAAAACACACUCAUUUUUCUCCGUUUUUUUUCUACAAAUGCAUGCGCAUGACACGGGGAACAAAACAACGAGGCCCAAAAGGCUUUGCUGGAGACUAUCCCAGCAAAGUCAAAUCCUCAUGUUGACCCAAUCAAUUCAUGGUAAUAAAAUUGCGAGGAAAAUGCUGACCAUGAUUACAUGCAUGACUUUGUGACGUAACAAACGGAAAAAGUUACUUCGGCUUUUGUUUGUGUGCGUUUUUGAGAUUAUAGUGCCCGUGAUUGGAUCAGCGCCAUGAUCGGGCAUUCCCUAGAGUGCAGGGAUUUUUCCCAUCCUGGGUGGGGUUUCUGAUGGCCAAGAGCGCUUCCAUGCCUGGAUUGGAUGAGCAGGAUUAUUGGGCUGAAGGAUCAUUUAAUUUAGGAAACAACAUGUGGGCCGUUUAGAGGCCCAUCUGGUGGUCCUGGUGGACAUGUGACUUUCGCGGCACUAAUCUGCAUGUCGACCGUGUCAAAGUAAAAUGAGCAAGUUAGUGCUUGAGUGUGUAGCAUGUGUACUUUUUGUCUUUCAGAUGUUACACUAACCCUGAUUAGACUUUUCCAGUUUUAAAAUAAUAAUGACCACAUCAUCAUCACAACUGUUGAUGAAAUGACCAUUUAGAACAUGCUCUUCUGCAGAGGAAGCUUUUACAAGUCAGCUGCUUCUUCUUCCUCUUGGCCCAAGCCUGGGGUCAGUACAGAUUAAAACGCUCCACAAUGCAUGGAAUGUCCACCUAAUGCUAGUCAUGGAGACUGAAGAAAGCAGUCCGCUUGUGGAAGUGCGUAUAAUCACAUAGGAACACUUUUUGGACUGCUGAAUCAAGUGCUACUGUCAGCAUGCGGCAUAACAAAGUACUGUGGUUCCCCGCUACAAAUGACCCUGCCCACGCCCCCCCGCCCCCUCUUCGUCCAGCAUACCCCUGAGGUUUGGGCUGAAUUAGAUCAUACGCUCGGUGGGGGUGGUUUUGUUGACUAGGAGAGUCGCUGAGUGACUACAAUGGCCCCAAUGUGAGUGAGGCAAAGGCAGAGGACAGAGCUGUGGCCAGUGGAGGCUUAUCGCCGUGGAUACCGGGCUGGGGGCUAUGUUGGCAGCUUCUCAUAAAGAUUAGGACAGUUGUCCCCCCUGCCUCAACGAGAUGGUGUGGAAGAGCGCAGGCUAAGCGUUGACAUGAUGCUCAGCUAACCAGGGUGACUCUUUGCUUCCUAAUCUCCUUGAAAGCAAAAUAUUCCCAUUUUAAUCGGGACAAUGGAGUCCUGCUAGAAUACAUUUACUGACAUUUUUUGGGGUGCAUCGAAUUCACGUGACUGCUUGAUGUGGUCCAUGUUCAUUUUUUGCAAUUGUACGCAAUUUACAUACAAUACCAGGCAAUUACGGCAAGGUUGGAAAAUGUUCAUCUUCUGGUUUUAGUUUUAGACAAGCAAGUCCCAACUCCUAAAAUUGUCUAUUUGAGUCGGACUCAAGUUAAGUCAUGCGAUAACUUUGGCAGCAAUGACAAAUUCAUGCUUGUUGAAGUGGUCACCAGCAGUUCACUGAAUAUGACUUGCCGGUACCAAAGUCAGGCAAGUCAAAUGUAAAGGAACGUAACUGUUGUGUU